rnacentral:rRNA from 1 species
GCGCGCUUAACUGCGAGACCCACAAGUCGAGCAGGUACGAAAGUAGGUCUUAGUGAUCCGGUGGUUCUGUAUGGAAGGGCCAUCGCUCAACGGAUAAAAGGUACUCUGGGGAUAACAGGCUGAUACCGCCCAAGAGUUCAUAUCGACGGCGGUGUUUGGCACCUCGAUGUCGGCUCAUCUCAUCCUGGGGCUGAAGCAGGUCCCAAGGGUAUGGCUGUUCGCCAUUUAAAGAGGUACGCGAGCUGGGUUUAGAACGUCGUGAGACAGUUCGGUCCCUAUCUACCGUGGGCGCUGGAAAUUUGAGAGGAUCUGCUCCUAGUACGAGAGGACCAGAGUGGACGAACCUCUGGUGUACCGGUUGUGACGCCAGUCGCAUCGCCGGGUAGCUAUGUUCGGAAGGGAUAACCGCUGAAAGCAUCUAAGCGGGAAGCCUACCUCAAGAUAAGAUUUCCCUAGGACUUUAUGUCCUCUAAAGAGCCGUUCGAGACUAGGACGUUGAUAGGUUGGAUGUGGAAGCAUAGUGAUAUGUGAAGCUGACCAAUACUAAUUGCUCGUGAGGCUUGACUAU